rnacentral:pre_miRNA from 1 species
CAACUACUCCCUCCGUCCCAAAAUUCUUGUAUUAGAUUUGUCUAGAUAUGGAUGUAUCUAAUACUAAAAUGUGACUUGAUACAUCCUUAUCUAGACAAAUCUAAGACAAGAAUUUUGGGACGGAGGGAGUACUUU